rnacentral:lncRNA from 1 species
GAAACUUGGUCAGAAUGUUAAUCUUGAUGAUCUUUAGGUCAAUAGGUCAGGUGAGCGAUACAGGGCCUUCAUGGCCCUCUUGUUCUAAAUUCACAUACUAGAUCUUCUCUUCUACACAUGUUGUCUAUUAGUCACACAUUCGCGAGAUAAGCCUGCAUCGGUUUACACAGUCUUCCUGUAAUUUGAUAUUUAUUGGGAUAAGAUAGAGCAAGUUUAUAAAUACUUUACACAAAGGGAAGGAUCCGCAACGUGGAAAUGUUGGCGGAGUUGAAGAUUCAUACAAAAAUGACGAAACUUGAAAGUUUCAAUUACUGCAUUACUUUUUGGACUUAUUGUAUUAGACUUACGUCGCCAUAAUAUGAAAUAAAGAUGAUAAAAUA